rnacentral:rRNA from 1 species
AACGCUAGCUACAGGCUUAACACAUGCAAGUCGAGGGGAAACGAUAUUGGAAGCUUGCUUCCGAUAGGCGUCGACCGGCGCACGGGUGGGUAACGCGUAUCCAACCUGCCCGCCACUUGGGGAUAACCUUGCGAAAGUAAGACUAAUACCCAAUGACGUCUCUAGAAGACAUCUGAAAGAGAUUAAAGAUUUAUCGGUGAUGGAUGGGGAUGCGUCUGAUUAGCUUGUUGGCGGGGUAACGGCCCACCAAGGCGACGAUCAGUAGGGGUUCUGAGAGGAAGGUCCCCCACAUUGGAACUGAGACACGGUCCAAACUCCUACGGGAGGCAGCAGUGAGGAAUAUUGGUCAAUGGACGAGAGUCUGAACCAGCCAAGUAGCGUGCAGGAUGACGGCCCUAUGGGUUGUAAACUGCUUUUAUAAGGGAAUAAAGUGAGUCUCGUGAGACUUUUUGCAUGUACCUUAUGAAUAAGGACCGGCUAAUUCCGUGCCAGCAGCCGCGGUAAUACGGAAGGUCCGGGCGUUAUCCGGAUUUAUUGGGUUUAAAGGGAGCGUAGGCCGGAGAUUAAGCGUGUUGUGAAAUGUAGACGCUCAACGUCUGCACUGCAGCGCGAACUGGUUUCCUUGAGUACGCACAAAGUGGGCGGAAUUCGUGGUGUAGCGGUGAAAUGCUUAGAUAUCACGAAGAACUCCGAUUG